rnacentral:rRNA from 1 species
UACGUAGGGUGCAAGCGUUGUCCGGAAUUAUUGGGCGUAAAGAGCUCGUAUGCGGUCUGUCGCGUCUGCUGUGAAAACUCGGGGCUUAACCCCGGGCCUGCAGUGGGUACGGGCAGACUAGAGUGCGGUAGGGGAGACUGGAAUUCCUGGUGUAGCGGUGAAAUGCGCAGAUAUCAGGAGGAACACCGGUGGCGAAGGCGGGUCUCUGGGCCGUAACUGACGCUGAGGAGCGAAAGCAUGGGGAGCGAACAGG